rnacentral:rRNA from 1 species
AGAUCCAAUAGCGUAUAUCAAAUUUGUUGCAAUUAAAAAGCUCGUAGUUGAAUUUCUGGUUGGAAGGAUCGGUCCAGCACUCUGUGUGGGAUCUUGUCUCCUCUCCGGCCAUCCUUGGGUGAAUCUUGUCUGGAAUUAAGUUGUCAGUCAGGGGAUGCCCAUCAUUUACUGUGAAAAAUAUGCCAUUGAAUAUAUUAGCAUGGAAUGAUAAGAUAGGGCCCCGGUACUAUUUUGUUGGCUUGCGUACCGAGGUAACGAUUGAUAGGGACAGUUGGGGGUAUUUGUAUUCAGUAUUCAGUGGUGAAAUACUUAGACCUAUGGAAGAUAAACUACUGCGAAAAACAUUUACCAAGGAUGUUUUCA